CUCAGAUUGAUUAGGAAUCGGGUUUAAACCUCAAAUUCGGAGUCGGGCAAGUGGGUUUAUAGUUCACACGUGAACACAAGACAAGGGUAAGGCUGGCACAGAGCCUUCUCCAAGAUUGGGUUAGUUGGCAACUUUCUUCAACUAUUUGCUUUCUUGAAGGAAAGCAAAUCCGUGGCCCACCUGAGAACAAGCCUCGCAAUAUUCUAACUUGCAAGCUUCCAAAUACCAAUGAGGAAAACUUCAAAUUGAUUUUUUUUUCACGUUCAACCUGCAAAAAUUUAUUUCUUUUUCACCUUUUCUUGAUAUAUUAUAUAAAUCUAACUAUUGUAAAUUGCAAAUGUGUACUCCAAAUCUUUAUUCCUUUUUCUUAUAUAUAUAUAUGUAAUAUUCUGUGGGCCUGUGCCCUGCAGUAGCACCCCACCCCUGCACUUUCAUGGCUACCUUGAGCAUUUAUAGAGAAAAACUCAGAUCUUGAACUUACUAGUUGCGUCCAAAGAUGGGUUUUCAGAUUUGGCUAAGAGGGUUCUGUUCUCUUGUGUUCAUCUUUAGCUGCAGCUUCGUUUCUUUGAGUUCACAAGCUGUAGCUGGUGAUGGUAGUGUAGAAGGGACUGUUUUUAUAGAUGGGAAAACUUCCAUUGGAAAGAUUGAUAAAGAUUUCAUUUGUGCUACUUUGGAUUGGUGGCCUCCUGAGAAAUGUGACUAUGGGACUUGCAGCUGGGACCAUGCUUCUCUCAUUAAUCUGGAUAUUAACAACAAUAUCUUAUUAAAUGCCAUAAAGGCUUUUUCACCAUUGAAGAUCAGAUUGGGAGGCACUUUGCAAGACAAGGUCAUAUAUGACACUGAAGAUAAUAAGGAACCAUGUAAGCAAUUUGUUAAAAAUACCACUGAGAUGUUUGGUUUCACUCAAGGAUGCUUACCCAUGCAUAGAUGGGAUGAAUUAAAUGCCUUUUUCAAUAAAUCAGGGGCUAAAAUUAUAUUUGGAUUAAAUGCUCUCGCCGGGCGGUCCAUACAUUCUGAUGGUUCUGCAACAGGAGCUUGGAACUAUACCAAUGCUGAAUCUUUUAUAAGUUACACUGUGAAACAGAACUACUCUAUUCAUGGUUGGGAGCUUGGAAAUGAAUUGAGUGGGAAUGGAGUUGGAACAAGAAUUGUAGCAAAUCAAUAUGCUGCUGACACGAUCUCCCUGUAUAAGAUAGUGCAAAAUAUUUACGGUGGAGUUAAACCUAAGCCGCUAAUUAUAGCACCUGGAGGAUUCUUCGAUGCAAAUUGGUUUAAAGAAUUCAUCGACAAAACAGGAAAUUCUAUAGAUGUGAUCACCCAUCACAUAUACAAUCUUGGUCCAGGAGUCGAUGAACAUCUUGUUGAAAAGAUUCUUGAUCCGUCCUAUCUUGAUGGUGAGGCUAAUACUUUCAGUGACCUCCAAAAUACCCUCAAGAGUUCUGCAACUUCAGCAAUUGCCUGGGUUGGUGAGGCUGGAGGGGCUUACAACAGUGGCCGGAGCCUUGUUUCAAAUGCUUUUGUUUAUAGUUUCUGGUACUUGGAUCAGCUUGGCAUGGCAUCAGCUUAUGAUACCAAAACAUACUGCAGACAGUCUUUGAUUGGGGGAAAUUAUGGUUUACUCAACACAACUACUUUCGUACCAAAUCCAGACUACUACAGUGCUCUUCUUUGGCACCGAUUGAUGGGCAGAAAUGUCCUGUCAACGAACUUUUCUGGGAUGAAAAAGAUACGUGCUUAUGCUCACUGCACAAAAGAAUCUAAGGGAAUCACAUUACUGCUAAUCAACCUAGACAAUAGCACAACUGUUGAAGUCAAGGUCGCAUUUAAUAGUACAGGGACAUUGCAUCAUCAAAGAAGGCAUCAUAGACCCUAUAAAUCUCAAAGGUCUCAUAAAACAAGGACCAUUCAGCUGCCUCAAGGUUCUGAAAGCAGCACAAGAAAGGAAUACCAUCUAACAGCAAAAGAUGGAAAUUUACACAGCCAAACUAUGCUACUUAAUGGGAACAUUUUAACUGUAAAUUCAGCUGGGGACAUACCUGUCUUGGAGCCUCUAAAUGUAAAUUUAUCAAAGCCAAUAAUGGUUGCACCUUUCUCUGUUGUAUUUGCACACUUGCCAUAUGUUGUCCCUGCUUGCAGCUAGGUAGUACUAGGUGGAACCGAAACUGGUUCCUUAUAAUGAUUGAUCAAAUAAUAGAUAGAAUACAUGCAAAUGUCACAUUAUUUUUUCUUGAUGAAGAAUAUAGUACAAGUCAUUAUAUGAACUAGUCAUACAUAUAUUUUCAAAUAUAAUUCACUCCUUUGUAGUAUGGAGACACACAUCUGCUUUAUGUGGCAAGUCUUACAACACUGUCACCCUGUCAAGAAAUGGAAUGUAAAGUUUAAAUCACUCUCUCAAAGUAUAGUGUUUUUCCCAUAUCAGUUUUCAAAUUAUGAGAACCCACAAAUAAAUUCUCACCGUAUUAAUAUUUAUUUUGUAAUUAUUAAGUUUUAUGUAGUCCUCAUUUAAAAGGAUAUUAGUAAAGUUGGAAAAAUGAUGUAUAGCCCACUAGUAAGAUUUCAUACUUUUAUUCUUCUUUCCAAAAUUUCAAAUAAAUGAUAAAAAUUAGAAUCAAAAUCUAAUAUUUUUUGGGAUAUUUCCUAUUGCAAAUUUAUAAACAUUAAAAGGAAAAAUAAAAUGUAUGGAGCUCAAUUUUUCUAUAUAAUUAUUCUCAAUUUUCAUUUUUAGGAGAAAGGGAAAAAGAUAUUUACUCAAAUACAACACUCUGUUUAUCUCUCCCUUACAAAUAUUUUUUUUUCUUCUAGUUUAUUUCUCAUAAGAAUUUAAACAUUUCAUAGGAGAUUUUAGUUUUAGAAUAUAAAAUAGAAAAAUAAAAAUAAAUAUAUAUUUAGAGACAGUAGAUGAAUCUAAAUAAUGUACAGUUUUUUUAUUGUAAUCAUACAAUACGAAACAAAUAUGGUGCCUACAUAAAUUGCCUGCAGCAGUCCACAGGUAAAUUCCAUUAAGUAGUUAUGUACUCAAUAGUAACAAAUUCUCAAACUCCAAUAUGUUCUCCUUGCUUAAGGACAAAUAGCAGGAGAUGGAACAGCAAAUGAUCAAAUGAAGGAUAAAUAAGAGGAAAUAUUUCUUUUUUUCUUAUUUGACACAUACAGUGAAAGUUCUUUCUGCUAAAAUAAUGAUACAACACAAGGUACGUCGCCAUCAUACAGAUAUUUUGGUGGCCAAGUAUGACAACUUUGUCAAACUAUUACAUGUGGAAUGUGCAAGGGAACCCUUCUUUGUUUUUUGUUGGGGGGGAGGGGCGUUUUGUGUUCGUGUUUGGGGUUGGAGUAGAAAAACAAAACCAGCCUCGUUAGUGUUUAGUGAAGGAUGAAGACAAUUUCACCAAAUACUAUGGAAGAAAUCAAUCAGUAAUAUCUUGAAUGCUGCUUUCUCUUAUUUUAUUGCUCAGAAAAACCAACCUGAACUCAGGAUCCAAAUUAAUCUCUGUUGGAAAAGUUUUGAGGCUUACUGCUUGCAAAUACCAACCAUACAACCGUACCAGUCAAGUAGAAAAAGAUUGAUGGCGCAAACAAUGACAUACUCCAUGAAUGGGUUGUAUCAAGAAGAUAACCAGUCAAGGCAACACCAACAAUCCCAGGUAUUGCUCCAACAGUGUUUGUAAUACCCAACAGUAUACUUGCAUAUUCAGGAGAUAUAUCUUGAUGCGUGCAAUAUAGUCCAGACAGGGCAAAGCUUGAGAGGGCCAAGCCACCGGUUAGAAUCCCCACAAUUUCCCAAGGGGGCAGCCCUAGAUCUACAGAGGAGAGAGUCAUGCAAACGGCAGGAGACAAAAAGGCAACUGCUUGGCAAGUCUUUCGCACCGUAGUUGUUUCAACUCCAUUGGCAAUUAAGUUGUCAGCAAGCUGUGCAGCAAUGCUAGUUACGAAAAUUGAAGCCAAAGGAGGAAGAAUGGAAACCCAUGCAGCUUCUGUCAAAUUUAAGUUCAGCUCCUCACUAAAAUAAGAAGGAAGCCAAGAUAAACAAGUAUAGUGACCCCAGCUUCCACAAAAAUGAGCAUAUAUCAUAGCCCACACGGCUUUACUCUGGAAAAAUGCAUUCCAUGGUAUUUCCUUCAGUGAAUCACCCAAUUCUGCAAGAGAAGUAUUCCAUGAUUUAUCCAAAUUGAUAGACUGGGGCCUUGAUGAGGGUACAGAAGCAUGUGAAGCUUGUUCCUCUUUAAGAAACUGAAAUAUCAAAAACCAAGCUAAUCCAAGAAAGCCAAAAAUGUAAAAUACAGAUUCCCAACCAAAAUUUUGAAUGAGGGGAGGAGCCAAAAGAAGCCCUGUGACACUUCCUAUACUCAGUCCACCAAAGACAAAUGCUACAGCCCGUGAGCGCUCUUCCAAAGGUAUUGAUCUGGCAAUAAGGUCAGUUGCAGCUGAUGGGGAAACACCUUCUCCUAUUCCAACCAAAAUCCUUGACAAGACAAGUCCAGGCAUAAAACCAGCAAGUGAAGGAAGAAAUGCAGUCGCCAAUGACCAAGUCAACACACCAAUUUCAAGAACUUUCCUGCCCCCAAAUAACUUGGCUAACCAACCUCCUGGUAAUUGACUCAAUGCAUAUCCCCAAAAGAAGGAUGAUUGCACCAGCCCAGCCACAGAUGCGUUCCACCCAAACUGGUGAGACAUUGGAAUAAUUGCAACACUCAAAUUUACCUUGUCCAUAUUACAAAUAACAAAGGCAAGUGAAGUAGUGCCAAUAAGUUUAUAUCUCUGAGGAAUAUUAUUCCAUGGCGGGCAAUUCAAAUCAAAACCCACUUCUCUAGAGCCACCAGCAUUUCCUGAUUGAAGCCCAGGAUCCGUAGUUGAACUCCUCUGCUCCAAUCCGUCCACUCGGAGUCCAGUGAUAACAUCAGAGACCCUCUCGCUUUUCUCGACAUUCUCUUUCUCUUUAACGCUACACACAACCCUGAAUUUCAAGCUGCGCUUGGAGGGAAAUAAAUGCAAGUUUUGGGGCUUGACGUUGAGAAACGAAGUAUGUGUGUUUGUGGUGUGAGAGAGAAAGCAACAGCCGUGUGCUUUCAGAGCAAAGUUUGCCAUUUCUUGGAGAAAAUCAAGAAACCAGCCUCUUGUCUAACGAGAAAUAAUUGAAUAAGAAGGACGAAGAAAGAGUGUAUGAAGUUAUGUGACAAGUGAAAGGAGGGAAGCCAUGGGAAAGUCUCCGAGGACUGGAGAUAGCCACGGAGGAGUUUGUUGCUUGUGGCUCUAGGACACUCUUGCUUGGUGGGUUGGGC
rnacentral:misc_RNA from 1 species